UGUUAAAUUACAAUACUGGAAGAGCACAUGAUUGACAGCCACCACACUCACUCCUAUACAAAGACAAACUAUAUACAUACACUUGGAUAUCAACUGGUAAAUGCAACUGGUGCAGGAGUAACUGGGACACAUGGGAAAGCAGUAACAUCUAGAGUGUGCACCUGGAAUUGUCUAGACACAAAGGCUGGUCUGAGCCCUAUCCCAGGAAGCCUGGAGCCUAAAACUAUUUCAGCAUGCAAGUACUUAACCAAUGGAGCCUAGGGUGGAGAAAGGCCACAACACCGACCUUCCCUGUUGGUCCUGAGUCCAUCGCCAAAUCCCUGUAGUCCACCCCUGGCAAGAGUGUGGGUGAGAACGCAAUGCCAAUGUUGUGCUACCUUGCCAUUG
rnacentral:lncRNA from 1 species